GCAGUGGUAGCUCAACUGGAUAGAGCAUCAGACUAAGAAUCUGAGUGUCGCAGGUUCGAAUCCUGCCCACAGCC
rnacentral:tRNA from 1 species